GUGAGGAAUAUUGGUCAAUGGGCGAGAGCCUGAACCAGCCAAGUAGCGUGCAGGAUGACGGCCCUAUGGGUUGUAAACUGCUUUUACACGGGGAUAAAGUGUGCGACGUGUCGUUCAUUGCAGGUACCGUGCGAAUAAGGACCGGCUCAUUCCGUGCCAGCAGCCGCGGUAAUACGGAAGGUCCGGGCGUUAUUCGGAUUUAUUGGGUUUAAAGGGAGCGUAGGCCGUCUGUUAAGCGUGUUGUGAAAUGUAGAUGCUCAACAUCUGAAUAGCAGCGCGAACUGAUAGACUUGAGUGCGCAGGAAGUAGGCGGAAUUCGUGGUGUAGCGGUGAAAUGCUUAGAUAUCACGAAGAACUCCGAUUGCGAAGGCAGCUUACUGUAGCGCCACUGACGCUGAAGCUCGAAAGUGCGGGUAUCGAACAGGAUUAGAAACCCGAGUAGUCC
rnacentral:rRNA from 1 species